GGCUUCAUUGUCAAGCGGUAAGGACACUUGACUGUCACUCAAGGAGUCCCGAAUUCGAUUCCCGCUCGAGGACA